rnacentral:rRNA from 1 species
CAAGGUUUCCGUAGGUGAACCUGCGGAAGGAUCAUUCG